rnacentral:lncRNA from 1 species
AUUUUACACACACGACAAAGCUUUUGAGUUGAAAUUAACAAAACAGAACUAAACCGAAUCCUUUUUAACAUUGCAAGAAUCUUAUACCACCUUUUCCCACCUUUGUUCAAAGUUUGCAGCAGACCUUUCUGUUCCUCUGCUGCAUCUGCAACAACAAAUAUGUAUACGUCGAACUGUAACACAUGUCGUAAUCCUAUACCCGGUUCUUUCAGCUCGUGAGAUGGUUUGCAUUCGCUUCGUUCUCGUGGUCCCACGAGGGACCGGCCUGAGGGAGCUGGUACUCAUCCGGUUUGAGUGCCAGCGCGAAAUCCGGCAGCGUUGGUGCCGUC